UUGGUGGAGGACAAACAGAAGAGCAGGUUCCUGAUGCAACCUUGAGAUCUCAGCUGUCCGUGUUAUCACCGGCUGACAGACUGCAAAAACUCCAGAAGAGACC